GUUGCCUUGUAGGAAAUUAACCAGUUUCGUACCUGGCUUAGCAUUUUAACUUUGGUCAGAUUCUUCUGCUGACCAUAUAAACCAGGUUUCUCAUAUCCUCAUAGAGAGGCUCUUCCCUGCAUUGGGUUAAAUCAAACUUUGACAUGUGUUUAUUAUCUAUUCAUAGGAGAAUUAUGAUUGUUAAUAAUCUGAAAAGGAUGCUUUCACAAAGUAUAGGUCCAAGGAGAAAGCUGAGGCAAAAACUGGGGAACCCCUCAAGGGAACCAGAGUUAAACUGUCUAGGAACAGCAUGAGAGGUGAAGUUCUAGAAAAGUUGAGUGAGCAGUUCUUCAUAAAGGUCACAAACACAAUGGGGCUGUCAAGUCUCACUCUGGUGGGUAUGGUCCCAUUGAGGUGGAUCAGGAUGGUCCCAGUACCAUCCUCACCUGGAGAGAGGAAGGAAAUGCUUAUCCCUUUUCUUUAUGGCUGCUGGUAACCUAUUUCCCAAAGACCCUAAAGAGAGAUUCUGUAUCACAGACUACAUUUAUUGCAUCAUUCCCUAUUUCGUCUUUUACACCCAUGAAGGACUUGUGAGAUGUGGCGGCUUGCCUCUGAGAUUGUGUCACAGUCUGGUUUUGACACGGUUUUGACUAGACAUAUGCAGUUACAAACGUUUGACUAGCAUUGCCUAAUUCAUUCUAUUAGGUAUGACUUUAAUAGAUCUUUAAGUCAUCGAGUAUUAUAACUGUAACCAAAUCUUAGGAACUCUUGAGUUUAGCACCAAACCUUCUCUUUCUAGCCUUAAUAAUCACUUCCCCUUUUGAAACAUCUGAACUCAUGUAUAAACUUCCAGGCUUUGGUAGGUUGAAUAAUAUUAAUUCCUUGGUUAAAUCACAUUAUCUCUGCCCAUUUAUUUCCUUUCUUCCUUCCCCAAGAUCAUCAUUUCUUCAUCUGCUAUUCUCAGCCCUCCCAUCAGUGAAGAUGAGAAUGAAGAUGCUCUUAUUCAAGGCAGUUUUCAGAUAAAAGAAGAGAGAGAAUAUAAAGGGAUAAAACUUCAGAAGAGAAAAUUCAUCUUCCACUCCUCAGAUGUGCACUCCAUCACGGUCUUCCCUGAUACAAUGCAUGGCUUUUUUAGUCUAAAUAUCAAGAAGUGAUGUAAGGUGUAAAUCUGUGCUGCACACAAUUUGGCUAGAGGUGAUAAAGUCUAUUUGAUAAGACCAUCAAGGUCACACUUGCCAUUUAACAAAGUUAGAUUAACUUGU